rnacentral:rRNA from 1 species
UCGAGAAUUUUUCACAAUGGGGGCAACCCUGAUGGAGCGACGCCGCGUGGAGGAUGAAGGUCUUCGGAUUGUAAACUCCUGUCAUUGGUGAACAAGAUUCGCCGGGUAACUCCGUGCGGAUUUGCUAGUAGCCGAAGAGGAAGGGACGGCUAACUCUGUGCCAGCAGCCGCGGUAAUACAGAGGUCCCGAGCGUUGUUCGGAUUUAUUGGGCGUAAAGGGUGCGUAGGCGGCGGAGUAAGUUGGGUGUGAAAUCCCGGGGCUCAACCUCGGAAUUGCAUUCAAUACUGCUUCGCUCGAGUACUGGAGAGGAGGCUGGAAUUUACGGUGUAGCAGUGAAAUGCGUAGAUAUCGUAAGGAAGGCCGGUGGCGAAAGCGAGCCUCUGGACAGUUACUGACGCUGAGGCGCGAGAGCGUGGGGAGCAAAC